CCAUUUUAUAAACACAGAAACAGAGAUUCAAAAGGGUCAGGUCACUGGCUCCAGGUCAACUCUACUACUAAACAGAAAAGCAAGGACCAAAAUUCAGAUCUUUGUGACCCUCAAUGCCACUAUGCCAUGCGAUGAUGCCUGCCUCUUUUAGAGGCCAACUAAUAGGCCAACUUGAUUUUCUUGAGGAAUGGCCGAAUGGAAGUUGAAUGGUUGAAGGUGACUGGCAAACAGAGAAACAAGGCACCAAGAACUGGCUAUUUCCAAACGUGGGCAAUCAGCUUCUGAAUGAAUAGUUCAGAAUGAUGCAGCUCUGGAUGUUGGAAAGGACAAUUCCGGCGUUUUACUCUUCUGACCAGUUUCUUCGUUUUCAUAACUCUACUUGAAGAACAUAUGAUGUUUGCCAGUGUCUGACAUUACGGACCUCACAGCUUACUGAAUCUGAAAACAGGAGAUAGAGAUGGAAAGGAAAGCCUCAGGAACUUGUUGCAAUAGGGACUGCCAGGUCCCGUUGCACUAUUGGUGGAAGAGAGGUCCACACGGUGCCUACGAUAAGCGAUUUGUUCGUAUCUAUCCAGACUGCAGGUGCAUACAGCCACUCAUCCUCAAAUGCCAUCCUCAGGAGUUUAUGCUGCACACAGACUGGCACAUGUGCAGGAAGACAUAGUGCAGGGCUACGUGCUACAACAUUGUUGGUGACAGCAACAUAUUGGAAGCAACCUGAAUUUUUGUUAAUAGAGGAUUGGCUACAUAAAUGAUGCUAAUCUAUACAACUGGAGUACUAUGAUGCCAUAAAAAAGAAUGUACAAGGUCUUUACGUUUGGAAAGAUCUCUAAGAUAUAAUGAUUUUCUUUGCCUCUCAAGGGAGCUGGGAGAAACUCAAGUCUGAAACUCAAACUCAUCUCAGUCAUUCCUUUCCCUUCAACUAGACCUGAACCUCAGGAGAUCUGGAGUAUGUGCUGAAUUCUACUGGGAACUGAGCCCUCUGAAUAUUAUUAUUGUUUUGCUAAUACUUUUUGCUGGAAAGUACAUCAAACCAGGAUGUGUUGUACCUCUUGCUUUGCCAGACUAUUUAAAAGCAAAAGUGACCAGAUAUCCAACUUAAGGCUGAUCCAGGUUUUUCAUGAUCUAGCCAGGGGAGACAAACCUUCCAGGAAAGUCUCUAGCGAAGGCCAAGGAUUUUAGAAAGUAUCUGUGAACAAAGAAAUGCAAUGUUAGUGGGCUAAUUUCCAUAAUCAAAUGAAGCUGAUGCAAGUGCUUUGUGAAUUGAUGCCCAUCAACGAGAGACUGGAUAAAGAAAAUGUGGCACAUAUACGCCAUGGAAUACUAUGUAGCCGUAAAAAUGAACAAG
rnacentral:lncRNA from 1 species